UAAAUUAAAUAGCCGCAGUAAUUUAACUGUGCAAAGGUAGCAUAAUCAUUAGUCUUAUAAUUUAAGUCUGGAAUGAAGGAUUGAAUAUUAAAUUGACUUUUUAAAAAUAAAUAAUUUUAAUUUAAUUUUUUGGUAAAAAAGCUAAAAUAAAUUAGAAAGACGAUAAGACCCUACAAAACUACAUAAGACAAAAAAAUUUAUUUAAUUUUUAUAAAAUUAUUUAAUAAUUGUGUUUUAUUUUACUGGGGAGGUUAAAUCAAAAGUGAAACUGAACACUAAUAUAUGAACUUUAAUAGAAGAUAAUAAAUAACAAUUAAGAUCCUUUAUAAAGAUUUAAAGAAAAGUUACUUUAGGGAUAACAGCGUUAAAUUUUUGAGAGUUCUUAUCAACAAAAAU
rnacentral:rRNA from 1 species